GAUGAACGCUAGCGGGAGGCCUAACACAUGCAAGCCGAGCGGUAUUGUUUCUUCGGCAAUGAGAGAGCGGCGUACGGGUGCGUAACACGUGUGCAACCUGCCUUUAUCUGGGGGAUAGCCUUUCGAAAGGAAGAUUAAUACUCCAUAAUAUAUUGAACGGCAUCGUUUAAUAUUGAAAGCUCCGGCGGAUAGAGAUGGGCACGCGCAAGAUUAGCUAGUUGGUGAGGUAACGGCUCACCAAGGCGAUGAUCUUUAGGGGGCCUGAGAGGGUGAUCCCCCACACUGGUACUGAGACACGGACCAGACUCCUACGGGAGGCAGCAGUGAGGAAGAUUGGUCAAUGGGUGCAAGCCUGAACCAGCCAUCCCGCGUGAAGGACGACUGCCCUAUGGGUGGUAAACUUCUUUUGGAUAGGGAUAAACCUACCCUCGUGAGGGUAGCUGAAGGUACUAUACGAAUAAGCACCGGCUAACUCCGUG
rnacentral:rRNA from 1 species